AACGAACGCUGGCGGCAGGCUUAACACAUGCAAGUCGAACGGGCGUAGCAAUACGUCAGUGGCAGACGGGUGAGUAACACGUGGGAAUAUCCCUCUCAGUUCGGAAUAACUCAGGGAAACUUGAGCUAAUACCGGAUACGUCCUUCGGGAGAAAGAUUUAUCGCUGAGAGAUUAGCCCGCGUCUGAUUAGCUAGUUGGUGAGGUAAUGGCUCACCAAGGCGACGAUCAGUAGCUGGUCUGAGAGGAUGAUCAGCCACACUGGGACUGAGACACGGCCCAGACUCCUACGGGAGGCAGCAGUGGGGAAUAUUGGACAAUGGGGGCAACCCUGAUCCAGCCAUGCCGCGUGAGUGAUGAAGGCCUUAGGGUUGUAAAGCUCUUUUGCCAGGGAAGAUAAUGACUGUACCUGGAGAAUAAGCCCCGGCUAACUUCGUGCCAGCCGCCGCAGUAACAC
rnacentral:rRNA from 1 species